CAGGGCUAGAAUCUCGGUGGGUCCUGCUUUGGGGGGUAAAAAUGGUUUUAGCCAAAGAGGGGGAUUCUCGAUCAUGUCCUGCCAGAUCAGGAUAUAGGGCACCUGGUCAGAGUGGCCGUCCGGUUUGUCCCUGAAGAUCACGGCCUUAACCUGUAAGAUAAUAGGUAGGUGAAAAGUUCCUUCUCGGGGCCAUCCCACGUCAAAGGUUGGCCAUUCUGACAUGCAAUAAAUUCGGAAUCUCUCUCUCCGUAUGUCUAUGCUCAGAAUACGAGCUCUUUCCCUAGCAUCCGAGAAGUGGGAGAGCAUAAGAGACAGGGGAGUGGUUUCUGUCUCCCCCAUUAUGUCCCCAAUCCACACCAAGACACACAGUAAAGACAAUUAACAAGGACACAACAACCCAGACAAAUGCAAAAAAAGUUAACAAGGACAUAGUAACACAGACCAACGUUCCAGUGCGGCCGCAGAGACAAAACAGAAAGCAACCCGAAGGGCUGGCAGCCCGUCCUCCUUACAGUUUAUGUCAAUACGUGUCUACUAAGCAUCAACCUUGUGCCGGGUUUAUAUGUUGGCCCUGAGAAGAAAGAAUCCCAGUCACUGUACUCAAGUUCCCAUUUGGCUGUUGGGGAAACAGAAUCUGGUGGUAUGCUGGCACAGGUCUUUCCACCAGCUCUCUGGAGAACAAACCAACCAACCCUGAUUUGUAGGGUCCACCAGUUUUCGUGGUAUAAACACUCCCGCCAUGGCUGAUUUCAAGCUACCAACAUGAUGUCACCAGACAUGGAGUUGGGAAGGGAUGUGCAGUGGCUCAGCAUCAUACAGUAUUUUUACAACACAGAGACAACCUCAAGAGCAUUGGUGAGAGUAAAAUGAAAUAAAUUUAUAGAAAUCGAUGACUUUGGAGUAUUUAUUACCUUUGAUUUUAAUAUCACUUAUUGAAUUGUAAGUUUAUAUAAUUUAAUUUCUAAUAGUGGCUGUUUUUAACAACCGGCUCACAAAAUGGAUUCCUGAAAAUUAACAAGCAGUGCUUUCAGGCAAGUAUCAAUCAAUGCCAGCACAUUGCUGCUACAGUCUCAUGACGGAUCAGGGAGACGAAGUGAGGUCUGGUAAAGGAGAGAGCUGAGUAUCCGUGGGCAAGUAACUUCUUGUCCUAGAGCUUCUUUGGUUUCUUAACCUGUAAAAUGGGGACAAGUAAUGUGUCUCCUAAGAAACUACGGAGUCUCAAUGUAACUAAUAAUGCUUGUAAAGCACCUGGCACUUGGUAAACAGCGGACAAGUAGAAAUCACCAGGCGUUAUAGUUAUUUUGAUAAUAAUCAACAUGGAUCCUACCCUUAAGAUAUUUAUGGUUUAGUGGAAGGAGGGGGCCAAUGAUAAGACCUACACAUGUUCAUAGGAUUCUGAUUCAGGCAGAAAAGGAAGCCUUCCUGGAGGAGGCUGCAUUUGAACGGAGUCUGGCAGAUUGGGUUCAGAAGGGGAGGCAUUCCUGAUUGAUGGUUCACCACAAGCAGAGGAUGGACCCAGGAUGCAGGGACAGUGCUAGAUGAGGCUGGGGGUGACAAAAGGAACAUAUAUGCCAAGACAAAGUCUGAAGUUUCCCCUGAGGGCAGUGGGGAGUCCCAGUGGCUCUUCAGCAGGGCCUGAGGGAAUCUGAUUGGCCUCUUGGAAUA